UGCUGAGUGGGAGGAUAUGGUGGUCUGCAGUAAGAGAAACGGUGUCUACCGCUUGGGAGUCUGCAGUGAGCGUGUGGUAGUCAGCAGAGACAGUCGAGUCAGUGCAGUUGUUGGACCACGAGGACCAACUGUGAGCUGCUGGAUGAACCGACAGUGGCGACAGUGGAAGUCCUGUGGUUAAGGCUGUAAACUGGAGGCACUGGUCUUUUAUUCAACACCACUCACGUCCAAAAAAACCCAUCUUGGGUAGGAGCUGCUGUCCGUCUGUGUCUGAUGUAGGAAGGGGUCACCUCGCUGCGAAAAGCCCGACUUUUAGAGAGCUUUCAGUUUCAGGAGCUGAUGAACAGCAGGUCUGUGUUUCAGUGACAUCCGCAAGGAUAACAACGCCUCUGCUGCUGGACGCCACUUGAUGUAAACUGACCCACUGGUCAAACGUGCAGCUGCAGUGAACUUCCUCUCUGUAGCCAUAUCUAGACUGAGGACGGCCCGUGUGAUGAUGAGAGCAGGCGGACAGCCAGCGGGCCGGUCUACCUGGACAUGGACUACCUGUUGCUGCUGCUGCUCUGGAGCUCAGGGGAACGCCACAGCGGACCAAAACAAACAUUAAUCUCUCAAUGUAUUGUUUAACUGACAUCUGCCACUGACGAGGGCAACUCCAGAGGAGAGAGCUGUUUGGAAAAGAGCAGGCUGACAAAGUGCCGUACGACCCAGAUGAGAAGUCUGCCUAAGUAUGUUUCCUCAUUAUGCUUAGUUGACACAAAGGCCAUGUAUCAAAAGGGAGUAUGACCCAGAAACUAAACAGAUACUGGUUCACAAAGGGGUUCUAUAACUUCUCCAAAAAUGUUGUCAGCAGUGACGGUGGCAGAAAGAGCAACUUGGAUUCAUGCUGCCCACUGCAAACGAGUGCAGGAGCAACCAAAUGGCCACAAACCAGGUGAAGAUCGAGAUCAGUUUUUAAUCAGCUACGAGGAAACGGACUGUACAGUGGGCACAAGUGGACAUACAGAGAUUGUCUGGACAGAUCAAAAGGAGACCUGGACUGAGCUGGAGGGGACGGACACUAGUGACAGGAUACAGCUGGACACACACACAGUGGGGGAGUCACAAUAAUAAACCUGAACAGCCUUCAGUUGUGAUGAAUGAUGACCGCAAAGAGUUUAUUAAACUGCCAAAGUAAGAGUCGGUAGAUUUUAACCUAGCAGGUGAAAAUGUUGCUGCAUCGUCUGUGGGAAACAGAGAGGGGCAGUCAGGAGGCCUGUAAAAGGAAAUCUAUGGUAGCAGGUUGCUGAAUUUGAAGACAUAGUAAUUAAACCUUAUUUCAGUUAUCAGAGCACUGAAUGAAGGACUUCUGUAAACACACAGCUGCUGCUGGGAGCGAGCGUGACACACACUCUCUACACAUGAUAGACUCACUGCAGAGUACACAGCUUUGAUGCUCAGGAAUCCAUUUUAUUUUGAUGAUUUAUGAAAUAGGGACAGUAAAAAUUGUCUUUUUUUUAAUUUAAUGCAACAGAUAAUCUGGACGAGGGGGGGCUGCCGCUGUUUGGUUUCUUUAUCUCCUCUAAUCUUAGCUGUACCAAGGGCGGUGUCUACAGAUGCCAAGAUGUCUAUGAAGAUUCUCAGUCAUCCAGGUCAUAGUUCUCCAACGAAGGUUAAAAUCAAGGGCAACUGGACUU